CAUAUAAUUAUUCAGCCUUAACUGCAAUUCCUUGGUUUAGUUUUUAAUAUUUAAGUCAUAAUUUAACUGCAACAUCUGUAUUAUUCAGCCUUAAUUGUAAUUCUGUAGUUUAGCUUUUAGAAUUUUUCAUAUUUAACAGCCAUAAUUUAGCUACAUCAUCUAUAUUAUUCAACCUUAGCGUUAAUUCUGUAGUUUAGUUUUAGGACUUUUCAUAUUUAACAUUCAUAAUUUAACUCUAGCCUUAACUACAAUUCUGUAGUUUAGUUUUUAAUAUUUUUAAUAUUUAAGUCAUAAUUUAGCCACAACAUUUGUAUUAUUCAGCCUUAACUAUAAUUCUGUAGUUUAGUUUUUAAUAUUUUUAAUAUUUAAGUCAUAAUUUAGCCACAACAUUUGUAUUAUUCAGCCUUAACUAUAAUUCUGUAGUUUAGCUUUUAGUGUUUUUCAUAUUUAACAUUCAUAAUUUAACUCUGACUUCUGUAUUAUUCAGCAUUAGCUUUAAUUCUGUAGUCAAUUUUUAGCACUUUCCAUAUUUAACAUUCAUAAUAUAACUACAACAUCUGUAUUAUUCAGCCUUAAUUGUAAUUUUCUAGUUUAGUUUUUAACAUUUUUCAUAUUUAACAGCAAUGAUUUAGCUACAUCAUCUAUAUUAUUCAGCCUUAGCAUUAAUUCUGUAGUUUAGUUUUAGGACUUUUCAUAUUUAACAUUCAUAAUUUAACUCUGACAUCUGUAUUAUUCAGCCUUAACUGUAAUUCUGUAGUUUAGUUUUUAAUAUUUAACAUCCAUUAUUUAGCUACAACUUCUGUAUUAUUCAGCUUUAAACAUAAUUAUUCAGCCUCAGCUGUAAUUCUGUAGUCAAUUCUUUUGUAUUUUUCAUAAUUAACAUUUAUAAUUUAACUACAACAUCUGUAUUAUUCAGCAUUAGCUUUAAUUCUAUAGUUUAUUUUUAGGACUUUUUUUCCUAUUUAACAUUCACAAUUUAGCUGCAACAUCUGUAUUAUUCAGCCUUAACUGUAAUUCUGUAGUUUAGCUUUAAGUAUUUUUCAUAUUUAACAUCCAUAAUUUAGCUACAACACCUAUAUUAUUUAUCCUUAGAUAUAAUUAUUCAGCCUUAGCUUUAAUUCUGUAGUUUAGUUUUAGGACUUUUCAUAUUUAACAUUCAUAAUUUAACUCUAACACCUGUAGUAUUCAGCCUUAAAGCCUUAUUCAGAUACAAAAUGUUUAUUAUUCAGCUUUAUUUGUAAUUCUGUAGUUUAGCUUUUUGUAAUGUCUAAAUCUAGGCUAAAUUAAUUUUAAUACUUUUAAUAAUUUCAUGCAAAAUUUAGUAAAUUUUUCAUUAUUCCAUGAAAUGGUGGUUCACCUUGUGUAUAAUUCUAUACUUUAGAAUUUCGUUUUCCUUUUUUUUUUAAUCCUUAACUUUUAGUUAUAAUUUUUCAACAACACUGUGUCUGGAGAUGGAUGAUUAAUGAUUCAUGCUGAUACUCUGAAGGCAUUUCUCAACUGAAUAUUCUAAUGUUUAUAUGUUUUAUAAUUGAACACACACACACACACACACACACACACAAACAGAGCGAGACGAACGUUGUCCCUUUAACAGGCGCUGCCCUUUGUACAGACGCGAAAUUUUUAACAUUUCUGGACAUGCUGGUGGAUCAUAAAUCAGUUUUUUCAGGACUGUUCACUGAGGCAUUGUUCCAGCAUGAGAAAGCAUGGGAAAGAAGAUUUUCAGCAAAUGCAAAACUAACACAGUUAAUCUUUUAUAUCUUUUACCCACCGUGGAGUUCUGACAUGUUUGCAGAUUUAAUAUUACAUCAGUAUUUAGCUGCUAAACGCAUCCCAAUCCUACGAGUUCUGUUCUUUUUGUGUAAAACUGUUUGUUAGAAAAAAAGGUUAAUCAUAUGAACAUUUUUUAAUUAAGCAGCUUUUAACUAAAGAUAUUCAGUAAACCUUCCUUUGCUGUAAACACUGUGAAUUAAUUAAUAUAUUAAUAAUUUGUUUUAUAUGAAAACAAAACGAUCUAACAUUCGCCAUACAGUAGGACGACUUCUGUAAUUUUCAACAAGUCUGAAUAAAGACUAUUAUUAUUAUUAUUAUUAUUAUUAUUAUUGCACUAAUUGUGUGUGGAUGUUUAUAUUGUACACUUUUGGUGUUUGUUUGUUUGUCAAGUCAAAUUCAUGUGUCUCCUUUACAUUUAUUAAAACCUUUCUGGUUCUGUGAUGAGCUUUGGACUCAUUUCGCUUGUUUACACACCUGAGAAAAGUGACACACUGACUCAGUGCCGUAAAACAAACUAGGGGGCACAGGUUACCCAGAAUGCAUUGCAAUCCAAUGCAAAUAGCCAACAGUUGUCGGAAACCUUCAAGACAACGUGUGAGAAUUAUCGCUGGUAACUUCGUACUCAGCGUUUUGAAAAGGAAUUCUACUUAAGAUCACUGUGCACGUUCGAAACCUGUGCCGUUCUCCAGACUCCGCCCCCUUUCGCACGCCGCUCAGGCAUGAGAGGACGUGUUAAAAACAGAGCUGGCACGCAGGAUGAGAGUCUGGAGCUUUUUCCAGAGGACAGGACACACCAGGGGUCAGAGAUUUCUGCUCAUGAUACACCUCACGGCUGAGGUCAAAGGUUAAGAAAUGGUCUGUCUGACAGUUAGCUAAUUUAGCUAGCGCCUCGCUGACACACUCCCUCACAUCUCCUGUUACGCUCUACUUUGGACCUGAUUUGGAGAAUACGUGGCAAGAUGAUAACAUUUUUAGUAAGUGAUCGUGGUGACGGUUCUUUUUAAUUCACUAAUUAUCCUUCAUUUAUCGCUCAACUCGUCUAAAGUUAAAACUAACAUUAAUAAAAUAUUAUAAACGAAUUGCUGUUUUAACGUUCGGACUUCACUCACAGAGAUAUGUUUAUAUUUUGCUGAAAUAUUGUGUGAAAUGUUUUAAUUUCUUCAUUGAUUUUGAAAUGAAUUUUGCUCAUUUUUCAACCAGCUGUGUUUAGUAUUUCUGUUACUAUGGUUACCGUGCGAGAGAUGGUAAAGAGAUGUAGAGAGAAUUCUGAGCUCUGAUUGGAUGAUAACUGUAAACAGUGACAAGGUUUUUAACCACAUUUACUUUACACUCGCCGGCCAAUCAGAAACAACUACUGUCAGAGCAGCUAUGGUUUAUAUGAGUGUGUGUGUGUGUGUGUGUGUGUGUG